GCGGCGCGCAUCCUCCCCGGCCGGGGCCGGGGCGCGCGGUGGCCUGCGUGGCUCGGGCAUCGCGCGCCCACUGUCCCCGCCCGGGCGCCCCGUGCUCCGCCGCCGCGGUGGCCCAGCUGCAAAUAAACAGCGGUCCCCCCGCCUCCCCGGGCCAUCGCCGCCGCCUCCGCCCACUGCGCAUGCCCGCUCGCGCGCCUCCGCCUCCUGGAUCCCGGGACCCAAGGUCCCUAACACCUGGCCUCCGCCCGCGGGUGCCGCGUUCCAGGCGGCCAGAGCACGCACAGAGGAGCAAGCGAUCAGGCACCCGCAGGACAGCGAGAGGAUAUGCUCCAGCGCCCGCGGGGCUUGAAACCUUCCACCGCGCUGUGCCCCAGCCCUGGGAACGCGCGCAGCAGUCCCUUCCCCAAAGUCGAGGGGUGCAUCCGGGGCUGUGGACUACCUCCUUGUCGGGUUUCUCUGCUGCUGAUGCUACGGCUUAUAAUAAACCCCGGGUUUGAUUUUUAUUUCCGUCCGGCUGACUCUUUCUUUUGCUUUUCCUUUAAACUCUUAAGCACAGAGAGAGGCGCCGAACACAUCAAUCACUUCUGGCUUUCUUUUGGUUUUGGUUUUGAGACACUGCCUUACUCUGUCGCCCAGGCAGGUCUGGCAUUGGCUAUAGAAGCCAGGCUGUCCUCAUGGAAAUCCUCCUGCCUCAGCCUCCCUGGCCCAGCUAGCUACUUUACCUGUGCCUUACUGGAUCUCCUGAGUGUGACUGUUGUCUCCUGGGUAGUGCAUGCAAGGCUGCCCUGGCUCUGUCAACAUAAAUGAUAACCACGGACCGCCCUGGUAUUGCCUCUGACUCAGACACUUCCUGUCUUUCGCGAAACUGUUCUACUUUUGAAUGCCAAUCACAAUAUGUAAAUAAAUGAGUUAUUCCGGAGUAA